CCUACGGGAGGCAGCAGUGGGGAAUAUUGGACAAUGGGCGAAAGCCUGAUCCAGCCAUGCCGCGUGUGUGAAGAAGGUCUUCGGAUUGUAAAGCACUUUAAGUUGGGAGGAAGGGCAUUAACCUAAUACGUUAGUGUUUUGACGUUACCGACAGAAUAAGCACCGGCUAACUCUGUGCCAGCAGCCGCGGUAAUACAGAGGGUGCAAGCGUUAAUCGGAAUUACUGGGCGUAAAGCGCGCGUAGGUGGUUUGUUAAGUUGGAUGCGAAAUCCCCGGGCUCAACCUGGGAACUGCAUUCAAAACUGACUGACUAGAGUAUGGUAGAGGGUGGUGGAAUUUCCUGUGUAGCGGUGAAAUGCGUAGAUAUAGGAAGGAACACCAGUGGCGAAGGCGACCACCUGGACUAAUACUGACACUGAGGUGCCGAAAGCGUGGGGAGCAAACAGGAUUAGAUACCCUGGUAGUCCACGCCGUAAACGAUGCACUAGCGUGGANCUGNGNUNUGUGCGCNGCUACGCAUAGUUAGACCGCCGNGGGAGGUACGGCCGCGUAAGUUAAACGUUAAAGUUAAGUAGUUAGGUUACGUGAGAGAGCGACGGACGACGACGACGGAGGAGG
rnacentral:rRNA from 1 species